AUGAAAAAAUUGAGGAAAGUACUGAAGGGGUGGAACCUCAACUUUGAAGCUAGCAUGAGGACACAGAAAAAAGGAUUGCUCAAAGAAACUGACAUGCUAGAUAAAUUAGAAGAAGAUGAGGUGUUGAAUUGCUAUGACAGAGAAUAUAAGAAAACCUGUCGUGCUGAAUUGGAAUUUUUUUUGAAAGAAGAUGAAAUUAAAUGGUUGCAAAGGGCCCAUGAUACUGAGUUGCUGGAAGGGGAUUCAAAUACUAGAUACUAUCACAUUAAAUCUAAUGGCAGAUUGAGGAAAAAUAGGAUUAUUAAAUUGCAGCAAGAUGAAGGGGCAAUUGAGGGGCAAGAAAAUAUGGAAAACUAUAUUACUAAUUUCUAUAAGAAACUGUUUUGUGAACCAGAAAAUAACGCUCUUAGUAUAGACUCUAGUGGGAUGGAAACACUCACUGAGAAGGAGCAAAAUUUUCUCACAAAAAUUUUUACAAUGGAAGAGUUAAAGAAGGCAGUGUUUGGAAUGAAAAAAACAAAGCUGCUGGACCGGAUGGUUUUAAUAUUGAAUUCUAUCAACAUUAUGGGGAAUUGGUGA
rnacentral:rRNA from 1 species